CACGUAGGGUGCGAGCGUUGUCCGGAAUUAUUGGGCGUAAAGAGCUCGUAGGCGGUGUGUCGCGUCGGCCGUGAAAACCUGUGGCUUAACUGUGGGCGUGCGGGCGAUACGGGCAGACUGGAGUACUGCAGGGGAGACUGGAAUUCCUGGUGUAGCGGUGGAAUGCGCAGAUAUCAGGAGGAACACCGGUGGCGAAGGCGGGUCUCUGGGCAGUAACUGACGCUGGAGGAGCGAAAGCGUGGGGAGCGAACAGG
rnacentral:rRNA from 1 species